CCUACGGGAGGCAGCAGUGAGGAAUAUUGGUCAAUGGACGAGAGUCUGAACCAGCCAAGUAGCGUGAAGGAUGACUGCCCUAUGGGUUGUAAACUUCUUUUAUAUGGGAAUAAAAUGUUCCACGUGUGGGAUUUUGUAUGUACCAUAUGAAUAAGGAUCGGCUAACUCCGUGCCAGCAGCCGCGGUAAUACGGAGGAUCCGAGCGUUAUCCGGAUUUAUUGGGUUUAAAGGGAGCGUAGGUGGAUUGUUAAGUCAGUUGUGAAAGUUUGCGGCUCAACCGUAAAAUUGCAGUUGAAACUGGCAGUCUUGAGUAGAGUAGAGGUGGGCGGAAUUCGUGGGGUAGCGGUGAAAUGCUUAGAUAUCACGAAGAACUCCGAUUGCGAAGGCAGUUCACUGGACUGCAACUGACACUGAGGCUCGAAAGUGUGGGUAUCAAACAGGAUUAGAUACCCCAGGUAGUC
rnacentral:rRNA from 1 species